rnacentral:rRNA from 1 species
AUGGUUUUGUCCAGCUCUUCGCUGCCCUUUAUCAAUAGACAACAGCAACACAAUGUAGUGCUCCAUUGUUUAAGAAAGGCUGGUUAUAUCCAUAUGAAAUUCUGUAACGCAUACCGCUCUGCCCAUUUCAUGUUCGCUUUUCAACCUUUGUCAGAUAAUAUCUUCGAAAGAGUACAGUUCCUGUUUGGGCUUUGGAACGCGGGAACUUCACAGGAACAGAGCAAGUCCUCCGAAUUUCAUACCCAAUUCCAGCAUUCUAAACAAGGCCUAAGAAUGCGGGGCAGCUGGAAAGUAACACUUGUAAAAUCCUAUUGUAUUGAUGCUUAA